AUACUUACCUGGCAAGGGCGAUUCCAUGAUCAUGAUUCCAUGAUUCCCCAGGGUGAGGCUCACCCAUUGCCCUCCAGGCAUGCUGACCCCUGCGAUUUCCCCAAAUGUGGAAAACUCGACUGUGUAAUUUAUAGUAGUGGGGGACUGCAUGCGCGCUAUCCCCUG